UAGAGUUUGAUCAUGGCUCAGAUUGAACGCUGGCGGCAGGCUUAACACAUGCAAGUCGAGCGGUAACAGGAAUAGCUUGCUAUUUGCUGACGAGCGGCGGACGGGUGAGUAAUGCUUGGGAAUAUGCCUUAUGGUGGGGGACAACAGUUGGAAACGACUGCUAAUACCGCAUAAUGUCUACGGACCAAAGGGGGGGAUCUUCGGACCUCUCGCCAUUUGAUUAGCCCAAGUGAGAUUAGCUAGUUGGUAAGGUAAUGGCUUACCAAGGCGACGAUCUCUAGCUGGUUUGAGAGGAUGAUCAGCCACACUGGGACUGAGACACGGCCCAGACUCCUACGGGAGGCAGCAGUGGGGAAUAUUGCACAAUGGGGGAAACCCUGAUGCAGCCAUGCCGCGUGUGUGAAGAAGGCCUUCGGGUUGUAAAGCACUUUCAGUUGUGAGGAAAGGUGUGUGGUUAAUAGCUGCAUACUGUGACGUUAACAACAGAAGAAGCACCGGCUAACUUCGUGCCAGCAGCCGCGGUAAUACGAGGGGUGCAAGCGUUAAUCGGAAUUACUGGGCGUAAAGCGUUCGUAGGCGGUUGAAUAAGCAAGAUGUGAAAGCCCAGGGCUCAACCUUGGAACUGCAUUUUGAACUGUUCGACUAGAGUACUGUAGAGGGGGGUAGAAUUUCA
rnacentral:rRNA from 1 species